UAAAUAAAUCAAAACUUUCAACAACGGAUCUCUUGGUUCUGGCAUCGAUGAAGAACGCAGCAAAAUGCGAUAAGUAAUGUGAAUUGCAGAAUUCAGUGAAUCAUCGAAUCUUUGAACGCACAUUGCGCCCGCCAGUAUUCUGGCGGGCAUGCCUGUU
rnacentral:rRNA from 1 species